UUUUGGCAUUCUAUUUCUGAACUGUGCAAAAAGAGCGAAUAUUAAAUCUGAAAAUUUGUGCAUGUUAAGUGAAGAUGCUCUGAAUCUGUUUUGAUUAUGUGAAAAUGAUAUGAUUAUGUUCAAUACUCUGUUUGACAUGGUGUGGCAUUUGAAAAACCUUUGGCAUGACAUUUUGAUUAUAAUUUGAUGACUAUGUUUC